rnacentral:rRNA from 1 species
CUACGGGAUGCAGCAGCUAGGAAUAAUCUACAAUGCGCGAAAGCGUGAUAGUUUGAGUCAGAGUGAUUUUCUAUUUGAAAAUCUUUUGCCAAAUGUAAAAAGUUUGGCGAAUAAGGACUGGGUAAGACGAGUGCCAGCCGCCGCGGUAAUACUCGCGGUCCAAGUCGCAGCCAUUUUUAUUGGGUCUAAAACAUCCGUAGCUUGCUUAAUAAGUUCCUUGUGAAAUUUUGUAUCUCAAGUACGAAGCGUGCAAGAAAUACUGUUAAGCUAGAGACUGGAAGACGUAAGAAGUACGUUCGGAGUAUCGGUUAAAUGAGUUAAUCCUGGACGGACUCACAAUUAGCGAAGGCAUCUUACGAGGACAGUUCUGACAGUGAGGGAUGAAGGCUAGGGGCGCAAAUGGGAUUAGAUACCCCGGUAGUC